GAUGAACGCUGGCGGCGUGCCUAAUACAUGCAAGUCGAGCGAACAGAUGAGGAGCUUGCUCCUCUGACGUUAGCGGCGGACGGGUGAGUAACACGUGGAUAACCUACCUAUAAGACUGGGAUAACUUCGGGAAACCGGAGCUAAUACCGGAUAAUAUAUUGAACCGCAUGGUUCAAUAGUGAAAGACGGUUUUGCUGUCACUUAUAGAUGGAUCCGCGCCGCAUUAGCUAGUUGGUAAGGUAACGGCUUACCAAGGCAACGAUGCGUAGCCGACCUGAGAGGGGGAUCGGCCACACCGGAACUGGAGCACGGUCCCAGAUCCUAAGGGAAGGAAGAGUAGGGAAUCUUUCGGCAUGGGCGAAAGCCUGACGGAGCAACGCCGCGUGAGUGAUGAAGGUCUUCGGAUCGUAAAACUCUGUUAUUAGGGAAGAACAAAUGUGUAAGUAACUAUGCACGUCUUGACGGUACCUAAUCAGAAAGCCACGGCUAACUACGUG
rnacentral:rRNA from 1 species